GAGAGUACCUGUAUAAAUGAAGCUUAAACCAAAAAAAUGUCAACGGUGUGUGACACCUGCGCUCAUGCAUGUUGCUCAUACAUAAAACAAAUCGCAAUUACAGAGAAAAGACAAAGUCUGUUAGUGAUUCCACAGGAGAGCUCUGCUGAAAUGCUACUAAGCUGCAGAUGUACCAGCCAAAUUAUUCCAGAGGGGAAUUACCAGGCCAUAAAUCCAGAUGUCAAGAGGAUGCCUGUAGCCUAUUUCACGCCAGAACUUCUCAUCUUUGUGCAGCCAUACAGCCAGACAUUGUGGCCUAAUCUUGCCGCAAUGUCGCUUGGUGACACAGGAUGGAAACACUGCUAUACCGAGAAAGAGGGCAAUUCCUAAAGGUA